UUACGGAAUAUUUAAGCUGUAAUCAAAUAUUAAGGAAACGAAAAAACGUUUUAAAUAAUUCAUUAAUGCGAGUUGUCAUAAGAUACCAGAAGCCCAUUAAAAUCUUGACGGAAAAGAAUUAUCCAUGAAUGCGAGGAAAAAUAUGGAAAGAAUCAAAAU
rnacentral:misc_RNA from 1 species